rnacentral:rRNA from 1 species
GUGUCAGCAGCCGCGGUAAUACGAAGGGGGCUAGCGUUGUUCGGAAUCACUGGGCGUAAAGCGCACGUAGGCGGGCCGUUAAGUCGGGGGUGAAAGCCUGGAGCUCAACUCCAGAACUGCCUUCGAUACUGGCGGCCUUGAGUCCGGGAGAGGUGAGUGGAACUCCUAGUGUAGAGGUGAAAUUCGUAGAUAUUAGGAAGAACACCAGUGGCGAAGGCGGCUCACUGGCCCGGUACUGACGCUGAGGUGCGAAAGCGUGGGGAGCAAACAGGAUUAGAAACCCCCGUAGUCC